rnacentral:rRNA from 1 species
ACAUCAUGGUAACGCUGCAUGAAGUAAUCACGUUCUUGGUCAGUAUGCAAAUUAGCAUAAGCAGCUUGCAGACCCAUAAUGUCAAUAGAUGUGGUAGAAGUCGUCAUUUGGCGAGAAAGCUCAGUCUCAGGAGGAAGCGGAGCAGUCCAAAUGUUUUUGAGAUGGCAGCAACGGAAACCAUAACGAGCAUCAUCUUGAUUAAGCUCAUUAGGGUUAGCCUCGGUACG